GAUGAAGAACGUAGCGAAAUGCGAUAAGUAAUGUGAAUUGCAGAAUUCAGUGAAUCAUCGAAUCUUUGAACGCAUCUUGCGCUCCUUGGUAUUCUGAGGAGCAUGCCUGUUUGAGUGUCAUUAAAUUCUCAACUACACUGACUUUGAAUUGGUGUGGCUUGGAUUUGGGGGGAAAAUUGUUGUGGGCUUUUUGUAUAGUCUGCUCCCCUGAAAUUGAUUAGCGGUACCUUUGUGGAACUGUCUACAGGUGUGAUAAUUAUCUACAUCUUAGACAUCUGCUGGAAUGCUGCUCUCUAAACCUUACUUGUAUUGACAAUCUUGACCUCAAAUCAGGUAGGACUACCCGCUGAACUUGAGCAUAUCAAAAGCGGAGGA
rnacentral:misc_RNA from 1 species